rnacentral:rRNA from 1 species
AAGGAAUAUUGGUCAAUGGACGCAAGUCUGAACCAGCCAUGCCGCGUGAAGGAUGAAGGUCCUCUGGAUUGUAAACUUCUUUUAUCUGGGACGAAAACGGGAUUUUUAUCUCAAUUGACGGUACCAGAGGAAUAAGCACCGGCUAGCUCCGUGCCAGCAGCCGCGGUAAUACGGAGGGUGCGAGCGUUAUCCGGAUUUACUGGGUUUAAAGGGUGCGUAGGUGGGCUUAUAAGUCAGUGGUGAAAUCUCCGAGCUUAACUUGGAAACUGCCGUUGAUACUAUAGGUCUUGAAUUAUCUGGAGGUAAGCGGAAUAUGUCAUGUAGCGGUGAAAUGCUUAGAUAUGACAUAGAACACCAAUUGCGAAGGCAGCUUACUACAUAUAAAUUGACGCUGAGGCACGAAAGCGUGGGGAUCAAACA